CAGUCGCCGCGGUAAUACAGAGGGUGCAAGCGUUAAUCGGAAUUACUGGGCGUAAAGCGCGCGUAGGUGGUUUGUUAAGUUGUAUGUGAAAUCCCCGGGCUCAACCUGGGAACUGCAUCCAAAACUGGCAAGCUAGAGUAUGGUAGAGGGUGGUGGAAUUUCCUGUGUAGCGGUGAAAUGCGUAGAUAUAGGAAGGAACACCAGUGGCGAAGGCGACCACCUGGACUGAUACUGACACUGAGGUGCGAAAGCGUGGGGAGCAAACAGGAUUAGAUACCCGCGUAGUCCCUGUCUCUUAUAC
rnacentral:rRNA from 1 species